UACAGAGGGGGCAAGCGUUGUUCGGAAUUACUGGGCGUAAAGGGCGCGUAGGCGGCCCGCUAAGUCGAACGUGAAAUCCCUGGGCUCAACCCAGGAACUGCGUCCGAUACUGGCGGGCUUGAAUCCGGGAGAGGGAUGUGGAAUUCCAGGUGUAGCGGUGAAAUGCGUAGAUAUCUGGAGGAACACCGGUGGCGAAGGCGGCAUCCUGGACCGGUAUUGACGCUGAUGCGCGAAAGCCAGGGGAGCAA
rnacentral:rRNA from 1 species